GUAUCAGAACUAGCAUGGUCAGCAGGACUAGGGAAAUGAUUGUCCCUCUGCACUUGGCUCUGGUAAGGCUAUAACUCAAAU